rnacentral:rRNA from 1 species
UACGUAUGGAGCAAGCGUUAUCCGGAUUUACUGGGUGUAAGGGGAGCGUAGGCGGCAUAGCAAGUCUGAAGUGAAAUCCCACGGCUUAACCGUGGAACUGCUUUGGAAACUGUUAAGCUGGAGUGCAGGAGAGGUAAGCGGAAUUCCUAGUGUAGCGGUGAAAUGCGUAGAUAUUAGGAGGAACACCAGUGGCGAAGGCGGCUUACUGGACUGUAACCGACGUUGAGGCUCGAAAGCGUGGGGAGCAAAC